AAAGGAAUUGACGGGGGCCCGCACAAGCGGAGGAACAUGUGGUUUAAUUCGAUGAUACGCGAGGAACCUUACCCGGGCUCGAACGGCUACAGAAUAUGUAUGAAAGUAUCUAGCCAGCAAUGGCUGUAGUCGAGGUGCUGCAUGGUUGUCGUCAGCUCGUGCCGUGAGGUGUCGGCUUAAGUGCCAUAACGAGCGCAACCCUUACCGUUAGUUACCAUCAGUUCAAGCUGGGAACUCUGACGGGACUGCCACCGUAAGGUGUGAGGAAGGUGGGGAUGACGUCAAAUCAGCACGGCCCUUACGUCCGGGGCGACACACGUGUUACAAUGGGGGGGACAAAGGGCCGCUACUUAGCGAUAAGAUGCCAAUCUCCAAACCCUCUCCCAGUUCGGAUCGAAGUCUGCAACCCGACUUCGUGAAGCUGGAUUCGCUAGUAAUCGCGCAUCAGCCAUGGCGCGGUGAAUACGUUCCCGGGCCUUGUACACACCGCCCGU
rnacentral:rRNA from 1 species